rnacentral:rRNA from 1 species
UACGGGGGGGGUAAGCGUUGUUCGGAAUCACUGGGCGUAAAGAGCUCGUAGGCGGCCACUCAAGUCGAAUGUGAAACCUCGAGGCUUAACCUCGAGCCUGCAUUCGAUACUGGGCGGCUAGAGUCUGGUAGGGGGAUCUGGAAUUCCUGGUGUAGCGGUGGAAUGCGCAGAUAUCAGGAGGAACACCGGUGGCGAAGGCGGGAUCCUGGGCCAGUACUGACGCUGAGGAGCGAAAGCGUGGGGAGCAAACAGG